UACGUGAAACCGUUCAGGGGUAAACCUGAGAAACCCGAAAGGUCGAAAGCGGAGAUUCAACCGCGUUCCCGUUAGAUCCGGGGGAGCGAUCGGAAGACGUCGGCGCGCAUUUCUAUGUUCGUCGCGAUCGGCCGACGACCCCGGUCACGGACGCGUGCAAUUCUCCGUUAGUAGGACGUCGCGACUCGUUGGGCGCCGGUCUACGGCCCGCUCGGGAGCCCGUACGGCGUGCGGUCCUUCGGGGCCGUCGCGUCCGUGCGGACCGACGCGGUGCCCGGCCGGCCCGCUCGACGGUGUGCAGAGGCGUGGGGCCGCCGCAGUUGGCGUCCGGCCCGUCGCAAGCACGGCGAAGUUCCGACAGCUCCGGGCUCUGUCUACCGGCUUCGGGACCGUCCGGCUGCUAGCGACGGCGUUCUCGGACAGACCCAGAACACGCCCGUCGGCGACGCUAUAGCUUUGGGUACUUUCAGGACCCGUCUUGAAACACGGACCAAGGAGUCUAGCAUGUGCGCGAGUCAUUGGGAUAUUAUACUAAACCUAAAGGCGAAAUGAAAGUGAAAGCGCGCCUUGCGCGCGCCCAGGGAGGAUGGGCGGGAUUCGCGUCCAAACGCCCCGCACUCCCGGGGCGUCUCUAUCUCAUUGCGAGAAGAGGCGCACCCAGAGCGUACACGCUGGGACCCGAAAGAUGGUGAACUAUGCCUGGUCAGGACGAAGUCAGG
rnacentral:rRNA from 1 species